GACGAACGCUGGCGGCGCGCCUAACACAUGCAAGUCGAACGGAGCUGAGAGAAGCUUGCUUUUCUUAGCUUAGUGGCGAACGGGUGAGUAACGCGUGAGUAACCGGCCCUGGAGUGGGGGACAACAGUUGGAAACGACUGCUAAUACCGCAUAAGCCCACGAUCCGGCAUCGGCUUGAGGGAAAAGGAUUUAUUCGCUUCAGGAUGGACUCGCGUCCAAUUAGCUAGUUGGGGAGGUAACGGCCCACCAAGGCGACGAUAGGUAGCCGGACUGAGAGGUUGGACGGACACAUUGGGACUGAGACACGGCCCAGACUCCUACGGGAGGCAGCAGUGGGGGAUAUUGCACAAUGGGGUAAACCCUGAUGCAGCGACGCCGCGUGGAGGAAGAAGGUUUUCGGAUUGUAAACUCCUGUCGUUAGGGACGAUAAUGACGGUACCUAACAAGAAAGCACCGGCUAACUACGUG
rnacentral:rRNA from 1 species